AUUAAAUCUCAGAUUCUGAACAUCUUACCUGUUGCUGUGUAAACAGGCUAAUAUGUGAUUUCUUAGUUCCUAAAAAAAUUUUACUAUGUAAGUACAUGUAUCAUGACUGUUUUUGCUGUCGUCACAGAUCAUUCAUAUUAAUUAUUGUAAAAAUACAUAAUUAUAUUAAAUCUUUAUUUGAUAAAAAAAAAAAGCAUCAGAUAUAGUAUAAACACAUUGACAAAAGUAAUAUUUCUUGUUUUAGAAUUAAAUAAGUGUCGGAAUCUGUAAAUGCUGUACAUUAUUGUGUCAAAAGAAAUAUGACACAUGUAGAGUAUGUAUGUGGAAUGAUCAGUUCUGAGGUACAUGUAACUUGUGUACGAUUUAUACCAUGAAACCAAAUACAACUGUGUUUUCAAAACUGUUUUAUAAUUGCAUUAUUGCAGGAAUUAGUAACCUAAAUAUAUAUGUUCUAAGAUUCUUCAUGAUGGAUACGUACAUACAUGUAUAUAUAAUAUGCAACCUGUAGGAAUAUUGCGCCCAAAUUACAAUAGACAAUCUGUAACUGACGUAAUUUUUCACUAUGGCUAACUUAGAACAAAUGAUCACGUGUCAUAUACACAUUUGCAUAGCAUGCUAUCCAAAUAUAGAAAUAAAAUUCAAGAUGCUGUCUGUAGAACACCAUUAUGUAACGAACAAACGUAUAACAAAAUGUAAGAUGAUAUUAAAGUGGAUAGGUCACAUGUUGAGUACAUACAUAUAUUACAUAAUGUAAAACUUAUACGGUACCAAUUUUGAUGCACCAGAUGCGCAUUUCGACAAAUUAUGUCUCUUCAGUGAUGCUCAACCGAAAUGUUUGAAAUCAUUUAAGACAUUUCUGUACAAAAACCACCAUGUUCUUUAAAUAUAUCCUUGGAGUUCGCUUCUUAACAAACAGUUGUUAAAACAGUAGUAUUAAAGAUGCCUCUUAACAAACAGUUGUUAAGAUACAUCCCUUAACAAACGAUUGUUAGGAUAUGACCCUUAACAAACAAUUAUAUUUUUGGCACAAAAACAUUAGGUUGUGCAAAUGAGUUGCUAAGACUUCCUUAACAAUCAACUGUUAAGACCUUCCUAUACAAAGAUAAUGUGUUCAUUGUAAUGUUUUUGAGUUUUCUUAACAAACAGUUAAAAUUAGCUUCUUAAGGGUGUACUCUCGUGGUACUUUUACCGCGAGUGAGUUUCCAUAGUUUUUAAAGUCGUAACUAUGGGGGUGCGUGUGUUUUAUUUCGUUUGCACAAAAAAAGAACAUUAAUAUCUGUUUUUAUUUGUAAGUAAUGUUAAUAAACUAACAAAAAUUAAUUAAAAUAUGACUUUUUUUUUACUUAUUUUUUAUAUUGUACUACAUUCAUGAUGACGUUACGAUUGUGCACAAACUCGAGCUCAAAGUGCAGUCCAGAAACAUACAUGGGUGAUUCGUUAGAAGUAAAACGGCAGUUAUAGAUCAGUCUGAAUCCGAAAUUCUCGCAAGUGAGUGGCAGACAGAGAAAAUUACAGACAAGCAGGCACAACCACGCACAUGGUGACACAUGGUGACACACUACAGACUGUACAUAGUGUCAGACGAGAGGGGAAAAUGGAAGGAUGUUAGCGAUGUAGUACCCGAAUCAGAGGCUGCUGAUAUAGUAUUGAAUGAAUUUUUACAUCCAUUUGGUAAUCACAGUUAGAGGGAUGAGUUGUGCUAUCAUCAUAUGAAGAACCAUACCAGGAAGUGCAGAUUUCUUCCUCAUGGUCACAUGGAAAAUGACUGUUAAAACUAGUUUCCGGAUAAUAACUCAAGUACUUUACAUUCUAUUUAAACCAAAUUUGGACAUAUGGAUACAUACAAAGACGGGAAGAUGCCUAUCAAUUUUGGGGUCAGAAGGUCAAAGAUCAAGGUCACAGCGCAUGGAAAUUAGAAACUGUUGAUGCGGGAGCAUAGGUUUUACACAUUCUUUAUUUAUAAAUAAAUUAGUAUUAUAUAUAUGCAUAUAUUUAUG